rnacentral:rRNA from 1 species
UAGCAAUAUUUUCAAGUUGGAGCGGCGCAAGGGUGCGUAACACGUGGGUAAUCUGCCGUGAAGUUUGGGAUAACUUGCUGAAAGGCGAGCUAAUACCGGAUGUGGCUGAGGGGAGGCAUCUCUCUUUAGCUAAAGUUGGGGACCGCAAGGCCUGACGCUUCAUGAUGAACCCGCGGCCUAUCAGGUAGUUGGCGAGGUAACGGCUCACCAAGCCUAAGACGGGUAGCUGGUCUGAGAGGACGGCCAGCCACACUGGAACUGAGACACGGUCCAGACACCUACGGGUGGCAGCAGUCGAGAAUUUUUCACAAUGGGGGAAACCCUGAUGGAGCGACGCCGCGUGGGGGAUGAAUGGCUUCGGCCCGUAAACCCCUGUCAUUCGCGAUCAAUGCGCAUUGUUUAAGAGAUGAUGCGUUGAUAGUAGCGGAAGAGGAAGGGACGGCUAACUCUGUGCCAGCAGCCGCGGUAAUACAGAGGUCCCGAGCGUUGUUCGGAUUCACUGGGCGUAAAGGGUGCGUAGGUGGUGGCGUAAGUCGGAUGUGAAAUCUCGGAGCUCAACUCCGAAAUGGCAUUGGAAACUGCGCUGCUUGAGGGUUGGAGGGGGGACUGGAAUUCACGGUGUAGCA